GUGCCAGCAGCCGCGGUAAUUCCAGCUCCAAUAGCGUAUAUUAAAGUUGUUGCAGUUAAAAAGCUCGUAGUUGGAUCUCGGGUCCGGACUGGCGGUCCCGUUCGCGCGGGUACUGCUUGUUCCGACCUACCUGCCGGUUUUCCCUUGGUGCUCUUCACUGAGUGCCUUGGGUGGCCGGAACGUUUACUUUGAAAAAAUUAGAGUGUUCAAAGCAGGCGCUUCGCCUGAAUAUCGAUGCAUGGAAUAAUGGAAUAGGACCUCGGUUCUAUUUUGUUGGUUUUCGGAACUCGAGGUAAUGAUUAAGAGGGACGGACGGGGGCAUUAGUAUUACGGUGUUAGAGGUGAAAUUCUUGGAUCGCCGUAAGACUAACUACUGCCGAAAGCAUUGCCAAGAA
rnacentral:rRNA from 1 species